AGUCGAACGGCAGCACGGACUUCGGUCUGGUGGCGAGUGGCGAACGGGUGAGUAAUGUAUCGGAACGUGCCUAGUAGCGGGGGAUAACUACGCGAAAGCGUAGCUAAUACCGCAUACGCCCUUCGGGGGAAAGCGGGGACCUUCGGGCCUCGCACUAUUAGAGCGGCCGAUAUCGGAUUAGCUAGUUGGUGGGGCAGUGGCUCACCAAGGCGACGAUCCGUAGCUGGUUUGAGAGGACGACCAGCCACACUGGGACUGUAUACGGCCCAGACUCCUACGGGAGGCAGCAGUGGGGAAUUUUGGACAAUGGGGAAACCCCGAUCCAGCCAUCCCGCGUGUGCGAUGAAGGCCUUCGUUGUAAAGUGAAUUUUUGGCAGGAAAGAAACGGCACGGGAUAAUACCCCGUGCAACUGACGGUACCUGCAGAAUAAGCACCGGCUAACUACGCCAGCAGCCGCGGUAAUACGUGUAGGGUGCAAGCGUUAAUCGGAAUUACUGGCGUAAGCGCGUGCGCAGGCGGUUCGGAAAGAAAGAUGUGAAAUCCCAGAGCUUAACUUUGGAACUGCAUUUUUAACUACCGAGCUAGAGUGUGUCAGAGGGAGGUGGAAUUCCGCGUGUAGCAGCAGAAACAGGCAGCGUGAGAACUCCGAUGGCGAAGGCGGCUUCCGACAACCGUCUGACGCUCAGCAGCAACGUGAAAGCGGAGUAAACGAGAUCAGGAUACGCCAUGUCAUGCACGAAACGAUGUAAAGUCAACUAAUGUUGGGGCCUUCGGCACUUAUAUAAAGCAGCGACAAUGCAAGUUGAUCGCCUGGGAAAGUAUUGUCGCGCAAGAUUAAAACUCAAAGGAAUUGACGGGGACCCGCACAAGCGGUGGAUGAUGUGGAUUAAUUCGAUGCAACGCGAAAAACCUUACCUACCCUUGACAUGUCUGGAAUCCCGAAGAGAUUUGGGAGUGCUCGCAAGAGAACCGAACACAGGUGCCGCAUGGCUGUCGUCAGCUCGUGGCCGAGAUGUUGGGCUAAGUCCCGCAACGAGCGCAACCCUUGUCAUUAGUUGCUACGAAAGGGCACUCUAACGAGACUGCCGGUGACAAACCGGAGGAAGGUGGGGAUGACGUCAAGUCCUCAUGGCCCUUAUGGGUAGGGCUUCACACGUCAUACAAUGGUCGGGACAGAGGGUCGCCAACCGCGAGGGGGAGCCAAUCCCAGAAACCCGAUCGUAGGCCGAUCGCAGUCUGCAACUCGACUGCGUGAAGUCGGAAUCGCUAGUAAUCGCGGAUCAGCAUGUCGCGUGAAUACGUUCCCCGGUCUUGUACACACCGCCCGUCACACCAUGGGAGUGGGUUUUACCAGAAGUAGUUAGCCUAACCGUAAGGAGGGCGAUUACCACGGUAGGAUUCAUGACUGGGGUGGGAAGUCAAACUGUAAGGUAA
rnacentral:rRNA from 1 species